ACUAGGCAGGCCUGUAGUCCCAGCUGCCGGGAGGCUGAGCCUGAUGGAUUGCUGGAGCCCAGGAGUUCUGGGCUCUAAUGCACUGUGCUGAGCAGGCAUACAAGCUAAGGCUGCCAUCAAUAUGGUGACCUGCAGGACAGCAGGUUGUCUAAGGAGGGAUGAACCGGCUUGAGAUGGAACAGGUCAAAGCUCCUGUGGUGGUCAUUAGUGGGGCCAUCCCUGUGCAUAGCCACUGCAGCAUAACCUGGACAACACAGAGAGACGAGGGCUCCU
ensembl:misc_RNA Metazoa_SRP Metazoan signal recognition particle RNA